CCUGCGGAAGGAUCAUUAAUGAAUUUAGAUUGAACCAUAGGCGAAAGCCAGUGGUUCUUCUUUCAUAUCCAUAACACCUGUGCACUGUUGGAUGCUUGCAUCCACUUUUAAACUAAACAUUAUUGUAACAAAUGUAGUCUUAUUAUAACAUAAUAAAACUUUCAACAACGGAUCUCUUGGCUCUCGCAUCGAUGAAGAACGCAGCGAAAUGCGAUAAGUAAUGUGAAUUGCAGAAUUCAGUGAAUCAUCGAAUCUUUGAACGCACCUUGCGCUCCUUGGUAUUCCGAGGAGCAUGCCUGUUUGAGUGUCAUGAAACCCUCAAACCCAAGUUUUGGAUUUCGAUCCAUGCUUGAGUUUGGAUUUGGAUGUUUGCCGGUGAUGAACCGACUCAUCUUAAAAGUAUUAGCUUGGAUCUGUCUAUAUGACUGGUUUGACUUGGCAUAAUAAGUAUUUUGCUGAGGACAUCUUCGGAUGGCCAGGACCUAGACUACUGUCUGCUAACUAAACCAUCACUUUAAGUGCAUCUUUGGAUGUUACUCAUUGUGUAACUUUGACAUCUGGCCUCAAAUCAAGUAGGACUACCCGCUGAACUUAAGCAUAUCAAUAAGCCGGAGGAAAAAUCAUUAAUGAAUUUAGAUUGAACCAUAGGCG
rnacentral:rRNA from 1 species